UCUGCAAUGGGAAAACAGGAGAUGGAGCCUAUUCUCCCUGCACGUCCCUGAGGAACAUACCAUGGAUGUACCAGUUGAAAGUACAGGACUUGGCAUCCAGACAGGGCUGGGCUACGGAGCACUGAAAUGCCUCUAAGGAUUAGUCAAAGGCUGGUUCAUCCCUUUUCUGCUGAUUGGUGCUGACCAAAACAUGCCUGUCAUUCAAGUACUGCUCUACCCCAGCCCUGCUUGACUCAGAAACUUCUUGGGUUCCUUUUUUCAGAAGCUGUGUUACUUUUGAAGGAGCUGAGACUGGGAGAUGGCACUUUGACAGGCUUCUUAAGAAGAGCAAGAAGCUGAAAUCAGAAGGAAGCGAAGCUCACUCAUCAUCUGGCAGAGCAAGAGAUGCUGGGAGAGUUCAGAGCUCAAAACUGCUUCUCCCAUAUGACCCAGGGAUGGAUGAGAUGCUGCCUCCCAUGAUAUCACCUUCCCAGCUCUCCAGAAAGUGGCUAGAGAUCUGGUAGGGGUGGAUGGGGUUGGAGGGAACCAAUGGUUACAGUAAGUAGAACUUUUUUCUGCAUCCCAAGCGAGAAUUAAAUAAAAGCCCAGAUGCUUUUGUCCUUUUUAAAUAAUUUUCAAACUCUGCUUAGCACUCCCGAGAGGUUUAUAUCAUCAGUUUAAUAGCUUAGACUACUAUCAGCUCAAGCUACUGGUUCGACUCCAGUUAAAUGGUAGUGCCUAAUUCAGGUUUUGUAUCUCCUCUUGUGAUCAGACUUUCUGGUCACCCACAUUAAGAUAAUACCCCCUCAGAUGGUGAAUUAGCAUCAGGUUUAGGUAGUGUCCCAAAGGAGAAAGUGUUG